UCCUGAUGGCUCAGACAGUAAAGCAUCUGCCUGCAAUGCAGGAGACCCAGGUUUGAUUCCAGGGUCAGGAA
rfam:TPA: Bos taurus chromosome 20, whole genome shotgun sequence.